AAAACCUUUUGCCAGUCAAACAGUCUGCUCUUGGAUUCCACUUCUCUGCCUCCUCAUUCAUAGAGUUUGUUGGACAACUAAAAUGAUUGCCUCCAAAAAUCUCCUCACCACUUCACUGGUUUCUUCCCUGGAUUUGCUGUCUGAAUUCCUUCACAUUCUAUCAUCAUCACCAACCUGCCUGUCCACCCUCCAACCCUCCAUCGUCAUCUCCCUCUUGGAAAAAGGAACAAGAAUCCAGUGCCAUCAUGCACUGCUCGCCACAACUUGUCAAUCUCCGCCUCUGCUGUUCGGAAAAUAGUGCUGCACUUUAAUUAGAAACAGAAGAUGAGAUGGCUCCAGCACGUAUUCAGAGCUGACAAUACAAAAAAUUUUGUUACAAACAGGUUUCUUGAUUCCGCCCCUGUUUCCUCGGCAUCAGAAGUGGCUGUCUGCCAGGACUUCUCUCAGCUCACCUCCCAGAAGACUCCUGGCCCUACAGGAACAGGAAAGGGGAGGUAUUGGUGAUGGCUCAAGAUAACGCCUGCUGAGCACAGAUGUGGAUCGCUCCAGCCAAAAGCACCAGCUCUGUUUGCCAAAACCCAACUGUAAAACUCUGCCUGCAAUAAGUAACCAUGAAACCAAAACAUCUCUUUUUUCUAACUGUGGGAUCAGCCGUGAACCUGAGUCACACAAGGGGACUUCAGGGGACCGUUAAGGCCUGAGUGUGAAACCUUCAAGGAAGCAAAGUUUAUAUUGGACUUAGGAACUUGUGUGCAGAAUGAAGUCAUACUGCAUAGCGUGCAGUUUCAUAUAGUUUUCCUUUAGUAUCGCGAGGCACACAUCUCAAAGAGGCCCAGCCUGUAAAUACUGUAUAACAUUCCAGUAAACUUUCUUUGCCCAAUGAUACAGUUUUCGUUAGCGUUUCAAAAACAAAUACAUGAGCUGCAGAGAUGUGGUGUUGCUGCCAGUGACUGUUUCAGCCCAGUGCCCAAAUCCCCAGGUCUGAGGGUGGGUAAAGAAGCAUAAAGUGCAGACAGUAUGCGCUCAUUCCCAAAACUGACUUCAUCCUUUGGGUCCAGCCCUCAAUGGUUUCACUUAAUAUGCAAUGUGUAGUAAUAAUUUAGGUCAAAUUCCUGGAAGAUCAGUUUAGUUUAAAUGUUUAAGAAGACUAUGUGUGAGCUUCAAAGAACCCGACAUUUCAAAAUACUUUCAUAGAAAUAAAACAAUUAUUUUAUAUUAAGAUUUGGCAGAGAACAUGUAAAAUAUGCAAAUAAAAAGUGCAGGUAACAACUCCUUUCUGCAUACAUCCAUAGCCAAUAAAUUAAAAUAGUAUUCAAAUAUUUACAAAUUUCAGUUACUCAAUUCACAAGUUAAAGCACGUUAUAUAGAAUAAUUAUAAACACACUGAUGUUUUCAAGUGCUUAUUUCGUGAAUUAUGAUGAUUUUUG